CAGAAGUCCUAGCUGGUUACCUUCACAGCUGCUUGCAAAACAGAGAAAUUCUACAUCCACUCACAGCAGCCAUGUCCACAGGGUGCUCCAGACGGCCAGGAAGUUAAAGUCACGCCACCUGGCUGUGGAGAUCAAUGAGGCUGAAGUGCAACAGGAGCAGCAGGAAUCCCUCCUGGGAGAUCUCCAGGAUGACAUUCCCCCAGGUGACAGCCUACCAGGCCCGUGGAAAGCCCUGGCUAGUAACCUCACAGCUGCAGUGUGGCAAAUCAAACAGAGCUGGAGUUGUCUGGUAGAUCCUUGGAGCAGGUGCUGCUGCCCCACAUGGACACCUUCCUGCAAGUGCAUUUCGGCCCCAUCUGAAAGAGCUUAAAGGAAAGCUUGCAUGGCUUUUCCCCGGACAUAACAAAUCUGUUUCUUGAUGUGGAGGCCAACACCAGGCCAUCACGAUGGUCCAGGAUAGUGCUGUGGCCAGGGCUGACUGCCAGGAGCUUGGUGGUAAAUUUGAAGCCAAGAUCCAGGAAAAUGCUCAGAGAGUGGGCCAGCUGUGAAAGGAUGUGGAGGACUGACGGCAUGCUCGGUGCUCUUCCCUGUACACUCCCUCUCUGAGGUCCAGGCUGAUGUGGACACCAAAUUGAAGAGGCCAAACCCAGGAGGCCCCAAGGACUAAUGGCAGCUGCGUGUUGAUGACGGCAGGGGCUGGGGCAAGGCCUGAACUGGAGAGCCUGCAGGCCAGGCUGGCCAACUGCAGAGGAACCUCUGGGUGCUGCACAUGGACUCAGCCUGCAGGGAGGAGGAAUUGCAAAACACCCCUCAGGGAUAUGAGGGCUACCCUGACCCGGCACGUGGAUGAGAUGAAGGAGCUGUGCUCCGAAUUGGACGAGACCUUCCAUCAGAUCAGCAAAAUGGAGCCAGAGAUGGAGGUGAACCACAGGGCGCUCUGUGAGCUGUGUGUGGUCCUGAUGAAGCCUUUAAUUAUGGAGGCAAACAAGGUGGAGGUGGAGUAGCAGCUCCUGGAGCUCAGCCUCACCCUGCAGCACCUGUGGGGCGACCACACUGACCUCAUCAAGUAUGUCAAGGAGGCAGCUGCCACAAGCUCUACUUUCACUUGGAGGCCGUCCGGGAGUGCCACGGGGACACCACGCACCCUGAAGGAGACCCAGGGGAGCCUGGAUGGCGGCGCCAGCUGCACAGCUCCUAGGCUGCCCUGAUGGAGGCCUGCUGGCCUCCCUCUCUGGGGAGGAGGUGAUGGAGGAGAGGUCAAAGGAGGCGCACGGCCAGCUUCCCCUGCCCGUGAGCAGAUCUGCCUGGCCCUGAAGGAGCAGGUGCUCGGUUGGGACUCGCUGGCUACCCGGGUGGCAGCCCUGGAGCAGGCCACGAGUGGGCCGUGGCUUGGAGCCCCCAUGGCCGGCAGAGCACUUGGAGCUGGCGACCACUUGGGCCCAGAAGAAGCUGUGUGAAGCCCUGGCUGGGCUGGCUCAGGAGCUCCAGCUCCUGAGAUCUGACUUCAGUGGCUCGGGUGGUGCUGCAAGGCUGCCCAGCCACCUCUCUCACCUGCCUCGGGGCCUCCAUGGUCCGCCUCCGAGUGCAGCUUGGACUGCACCAGCUGCUCCUCCUUGGAAACUUCCAAGAGCUGGUGACAGCAGUGUCAGCCUAAAUCUGGGGAAGCUGGAAACCGUGCCCAGCAGGAAAAGGAAGCAGAAGCAGAAAGGCCCAGAAGUUCCCCGGAAGAGGGACAGGAAAGAAGCUGAGCCUUUGCCAGACACACACAUCAAAGGGCCAGUGCCAGAUGCCUUGAACACUGAGCUCUGGCAGGCAGGCUCCCCUGUGGCCUUCUAUGCCAGUUUCUCAGAAAGGACAGCUGCCCUGCAGACAUGGAAGUUCAACACUAGCUACAUCGACACUGACAGCAGCAACUUCCCUGAACAUGGCUACUACCAAGCCGGAGUUUGGUGUCCCAUUUGCAGUGAGCAUUGAAUUUGGCCCAGGGCCAGGAACCAGGCACCUGGUGUUUGGAGGGCUCCAUCAGGGACCCUGGGCGGGAAGCACAGCAGCCACCUUUGCCAUGGCUGAGCUGCGAAAGGGUGAGAGAGUGUGGUUGGAGUUAACCCAGGCAUUGGUAACAAACAGAAACCAGCGAGGCACUGCAUUUGGGGGCUUCCUGAUGUUCAAGACAUGA
rnacentral:lncRNA from 1 species